AUGUCCUACAUGCUUCCGCAUCUACACAAUGGCUGGCAGGUAGACCAGACCAUCCUUUCGGAGGAGGACUGCGUGGUCGUCAUUUGCUUUGGAGGCGUCGGAGGCCCCUCUUGCAUGAAGAUGGACGGAGUUCUGUACAGCAUCACCGAAACAACAUGGAAGAUAGUGAGAGAUCUUCCUCAUCUUGUAUGAGUUCUGUAUGGAUAACCCAGCUGUCUGAAAGCAAACGGUGCUGGUGUCGCUUGUGCCCUGUGGCAUCCUCUCUGAUUCUCCGGAGUCUGAUAGGCUUUUCUGCCUCCAAUAUGAACAUCCACUUGGACAGAUGACCUGAUGAACAUACAACACUGCAACCUGCUCUGCCUGCCCGAGAACUACCGGAUGAAGUACUACUAUCAUGGCCUCACGUGGCCCCAGCUCCCUACAUUGCUGAGGAUGAGGUUGGGAAGAUCGUGGGUUCUGUUCUGCCAAAAUGGAAGAGGAUCCUAAUAAUGUCACUCAUGGACACAUCACCUCACUGACUGUGAAGCGCUCCCACUGGCGCUUUGGCCUGGCCAAGAAGCUAUUGAACCAGGCCUCCCAGGCCGUGAUGGAGAACUUCAGCGCAUGCCAGGAGCAGCAACCGAGCAGCUUUGCACCUCUAUUCCAACACCCUGAACUUCCAGGUCCGAACUCUAGUUCUUACCGAAAGGUGGCAACAACAUGUCCCAUCGGCCAGUAUAGGUAAAUGGACUUGGAAGCAGCAGUGUUGUCUGACCUGAAUGCGUCCACUUCAUCACCAAUCCACAG